rnacentral:rRNA from 1 species
UUGCCGUCGAGCGGCGGACGGGUGAGUAAUGUCUGGGAAACUGCUGAUGGAGGGGGAUAACUACUGGAAACGGUAGCUAAUACCGCAUAACGUCGCAAGACCAAAGAGGGGGACCUUCGGGCCUCUUGCCAUCAGAUGUGCCCAGAUGGGAUUAGCUAGUAGGUGGGGUAACGGCUCACCUAGGCGACGAUCCCUAGCUGGUCUGAGAGGAUGACCAGCCACACUGGAACUGAGACACGGUCCAGACUCCUACGGGAGGCAGCAGUGGGGAAUAUUGCACAAUGGGCGCAAGCCUGAUGCAGCCAUGCCGCGUGUAUGAAGAAGGCCUUCGGGUUGUAAAGUACUUUCAGCGGGGAGGAAGGCGUUGUGGUUAAUAACCACAGCGAUUGACGUUACCCGCAGAAGAAGCACCGGCUAACUCCGUGCCAGCAGCCGCGGUAAUACGGAGGGUGCAAGCGUUAAUCGGAAUUACUGGGCGUAAAGCGCACGCAGGCGGUCUGUCAAGUCGGAUGUGAAAUCCCCGGGCUCAACCUGGGAACUGCAUUCGAAACUGGCAGGCUAGAGUCUUGUAGAGGGGGGUAGAAUUCCAGGUGUAGCGGUGAAAUGCGUAGAGAUCUGGAGGAAUACCGGUGGCGAAGGCGGCCCCCUGGACAAAGACUGACGCUCAGGUGCGAAAGCGUGGGGAGCAAACAGGAUUAGAUACCCUGGUAGUCCACGCCGUAAACGAUGUCGACUUGGAGGUUGUGCCCUUGAGGCGUGGCUUCCGGAGCUAACGCGUUAAGUCGACCGCCUGGGGAGUACGGCCGCAAGGUUAAAACUCAAAUGAAUUGACGGGGGCCCGCACAAGCGGUGGAGCAUGUGGUUUAAUUCGAUGCAACGCGAAGAACCUUACCUACUCUUGACAUCCAGAGAACUUACCAGAGAUGGAUUGGUGCCUUCGGGAACUCUGA